rnacentral:rRNA from 1 species
CCUACGGGGUGCAGCAGUGGGGGAUAUUGCACAAUGGGGGAAACCCUGAUGCAGCGACGCCGCGUGGGCGAAGAAGUAUUUCGGUAUGUAAAGCCCUAUCAGCAGGGAAUAAGAAAUGACUGUAUCUGAAUAAGACGCCCCGGCUAAAUACGUGCCAGCAGGCGCGGUAAUACGUAUGGUGCAAGCGUUAUCCGGAUUUACUGGGUGUAAAGGGAGCGAAGGCGGCACGGCAAGCCUGAUGUGAAAGCCCGGGGCUCAACCGCGGGACUGCUUUGGAAAGUACCCGGCUGGAGUGCGGGAGAGGUAGGCGGAAUUCCUAGUGUAGCGGUGAAAUGCGUAGAUAUUAGGAGGAACACCAGUGGCGAAGGCGGCCUACUGGACGGUAACUGACGCUGAGGCUCGAAAGCGUGGGGAGCAAACAGGAUUAGAUACCCUAGUAGUC